GCUUAUUAUCCUGGAUUGAGCUCUGUGUACUUUUUCUCUUGGACUCCACUUAUGUGCCUUUUCCCUUUGCUGAUUUUAGUCUGUAUCUUAUUGUGUAAUAAGCCUUGACUGUUCCUUCAAAUACAUCAGAAAUAUGUUGUAUUAUUAGAGCAACACCAGGAACUAGACAAAUGAAAAGUAAAGAUGUUGUAGUAAAGAAGAAGAAAUAUUCCCCACCUAAAGAUAUUCCUCAAGAUAUUAUAAUAAAAACAAAUGGCAGAAUGUAGCAGCCAUGGCUGAAUUUUCACCACUUUGAAGAUAUACAUGAAGUCAAAGUCCAUAAAGCAGAAUGUCUGCCUGAAAUUAUAUAUAAUUCAAAAAUCAAAAUUCUCUAAUUAUUUGUGAUAUAUCCUGGUGAUGAAAUUCUACUGAGAUUCUUAUAAUUUACUUUUAAUCAGUAAAGAAACAUUCUUAUGUAUGCCUCUUAAAUAUGUGUAUUUGUAUUGUAAAAUAAGAAUAAAUAGCUUAUAUUAAAAGACUGUAUACUAAACAGAUGAUUUCAGCUAUUUAUAAAGAGCAAAGUACCAGGCUACUAUG